rnacentral:lncRNA from 1 species
GCACAAGCCAUUUCUUUCUGACUUCUCCGGCUAACUCUGGAUGUAGCUCAGUGGUGGAGCACUCGCCUGAAUUAGGAUUCAGAAGAUUUGUAACUGGCAUCACAGUAUUUUCUUCACUGAACCUUCAUGAACAUGAAUGACUGCACAGUUUAUGCUACAGGCACAAAAAGUAAAGAAAGACUUUGGUCCGAGGUUUUCCACGGCACAUGGUAGUACCGCUUCGUCCCCACGUUUGAUCGUGAUGUUGGCUGGCGUGUCGAGAAAUCCAGGCAACAUGUAUCUGAGUGGACGUGUUCCAGCAGCUGAAAGGAAAACAAUAAAAUCAUUUUAAAAAUUA